rnacentral:rRNA from 1 species
AUUGAACGCUGGCGGCAGGCCUAACACAUGCAAGUCGAGCGAGCGUGGCAGGCGGGAGUAAUAUCUCGGAAACUGCCUGAUGUGGGGGGGUAACUACUCGCAACGGUGUCUAAUAUCGCAUACCCUCAGAUGUGCCCAGAUAGGGUUAGCUAGUGGGGGGGGUAACGGCUCACCUAGGCGACGAUCCCUAGCUGGUCUGAGAGGAUGACCAGCCACACUGGAACUGAGACACGGUCCAGACUCCUACGGGAGGCAGCAGUGGGGAAUAUUGCACAAUGGGCGCAAGCCUGAUGCAGCCAUGCCGCGUGUGUGAAGAAGGCCUUCGGGUUGUAAAGCACUUUCAGCGGGGAGGCGUUACCCGCAGAAGAAGCACCGGCUAACUCCGUGCCAGCAGCCGCGGUAAUUC